GUGGGGAAUCUUGCGCAAUGGGCGAAAGCCUGACGCAGCCAUGCCGCGUGAAUGAUGAAGGUCUUAGGAUUGUAAAAUUCUUUCACCGGGGACGAUAAUGACGGUACCCGGAGAAGAAGCUCCGGCUAACUUCGUGCCAGCAGCCGCGGUAAUACGAAGGGGGCUAGCGUUGCCCGGAAUUACUGGGCGUAAAGGGCGCGUAGGCGGACAGCUUAGUCAGAGGUGAAAGCCCAGGGCUCAACCUUGGAAUUGCCUUUGAUACUGGCUGUCUUGAGUUUGGGAGAGGUGGGUGGAACUCCGAGUGGGGAGGUGAAAGUCGUAGAUAUUCGGAAGAACACCAGUGGCGAAGGCGACUCACUGGCCCAAUACUGGCGCUGAGGCGCGAAAGCGUGGGGAGCAAACAGGAUUAGAUACCCCAGUAGUCC
rnacentral:rRNA from 1 species